rnacentral:rRNA from 1 species
CCAAGGAGUCUAACAUGUGCGCGAGUCAUUGGGGAUCUCUCGAGACCCACAGGCGCAAUGAAAGUGAAGGUAGGGGCCUGCCCCCACCGAGGCGGGAUCUGUCCGGGGGGUAACCCCCGGCAGCGCACCGCCGGCCCGUCGCAACCGCUACGCCGGUGCGGCGGAGCAAGAGCGUACACGUUGGGACCCGAAAGAUGGUGAUCUAUGCCUGGGCAGGACGAAGCCAGAGGAAACUCUGGUGGAGGUCCGUAGCGAUUCUGACGUGCAAAUCGAUCGUCGGACCUGGGUAUAGGGGCGAAAGACUAAUCGAACCGUCUA